AUUGAACGCUGGCGGCAGGCCUAACACAUGCAAGUCGAGCGGUAGAGAGGUGCUUGCAUCUCUUGAGAGCGGCGGACGGGUGAGUAAUGCCUAGGAAUCUGCCUAGUGGUGGGGGAUAACGUUCGGAAACGGACGUUAAUACCGCAUACGUCCUACGGGAGAAAGCGGGGGAUCUUCGGACCUCGCGCCAUUAGAUGAGCCUAGGUCGGAUUAGCUAGUUGGUGAGGUAAUGGCUCACCAAGGCGACGAUCCGUAACUGGUCUGAGAGGAUGAUCAGUCACACUGGAACUGAGACACGGUCCAGACUCCUACGGGAGGCAGCAGUGGGGAAUAUUGGACAAUGGGCAAAAGCCUGAUCCAGCCAUGCGCGUGUGUGAAGAAGGUCUUUCGGAUUGUAAAGCACUUUAAGUUGGGAGGAAGGGUAGUAACCUAAUACGUUGCUACUUGUACGUUACCGACAGAAUAAG
rnacentral:rRNA from 1 species